GAGUUUGAUCAUGGCUCAGAUUGAACGCUGGCGGCAGGCUUAACACAUGCAAGUCGAGCGGUAACAGAGAUAGCUUGCUAUCUGCUGACGAGCGGCGGACGGGUGAGUAAUGCUUGGGAAUAUGCCUAAUGGUGGGGGACAACAGUUGGAAACGACUGCUAAUACCGCAUAACGUCUACGGACCAAAGGAGGGGAUUCUUCGGAACCUUUUGCCAUUUGAUUAGCCCAAGUGAGAUUAGCUAGUAGGUAAGGUAAAGGCUUACCUAGGCGACGAUCUCUAGCUGGUUUGAGAGGAUGAUCAGCCACACUGGGACUGAGACACGGCCCAGACUCCUACGGGAGGCAGCAGUGGGGAAUAUUGCACAAUGGGCGAAAGCCUGAUGCAGCCAUGCCGCGUGUGUGAAGAAGGCCUUCGGGUUGUAAAGCACUUUCAGCGAGGAGGAAAGGGUGUAGAUUAAU
rnacentral:rRNA from 1 species